CCUACGGGGGGCUGCAGUGGGGAAUAUUGGGCAAUGGGCGCAAGCCUGACCCAGCAACGCCGCGUGAAGGAAGAAGGCUUUCGGGUUGUAAACUUCUUUUCUGAGGGACGAAGAAAGUGACGGUACCUCAGGAAUAAGCCACGGCUAACUACGUGCCAGCAGCCGCGGUAAUACGUAGGUGGCAAGCGUUAUCCGGAUUUAUUGGGUGUAAAGGGCGUGUAGGCGGGAAAGCAAGUCAGAUGUGAAAACUCAGGGCUCAACCCUGAGCCUGCAUUUGAAACUGUUUUUCUUGAGUGCUGGAGAGGCAAUCGGAAUUCCGUGUGUAGCGGUGAAAUGCAUAGAUAUCACGCAGAACACCAGUGGCGAAGGCGGUCUGCUGGACAGCAACUGACGGUGAGGCGCGAAAGCGUGGGGAGCAAACAGGAUUAGAUACCCUAGUAGUC
rnacentral:rRNA from 1 species